AAGAGUUUGAUCCUGGCUCAGGAUGAACGCUAGCGGCAGGCUUAACACAUGCAAGUCGAGGGGUAUAGUUCUUCGGAACUAGAGACCGGCGCACGGGUGCGUAACGCGUAUGCAAUCUACCUUUCACAGAGGGAUAGCCCAGAGAAAUUUGGAUUAAUACCUCAUAGUAUAAUUGAAUGGCAUCAUUUAAUUAUUAAAGUCACAACGGUGAAAGAUGAGCAUGCGUCCCAUUAGCUUGUUGGUAAGGUAACGGCUUACCAAGGCGACGAUGGGUAGGGGUCCUGAGAGGGAGAUCCCCCACACUGGUACUGAGACACGGACCAGACUCCUACGGGAGGCAGCAGUGAGGAAUAUUGGUCAAUGGGCGCAAGCCUGAACCAGCCAUGCCGCGUGCAGGAUGACGGUCCUAUGGAUUGUAAACUGCUUUUGUACAGGAAGAAACACUGGUUCGUGAACCAGCUUGACGGUACUGUAAGAAUAAGGAUCGGCUAACUCCGUGCCAGCAGCCGCGGUAAUACGGAGGAUCCAAGCGUUAUCCGGAAUCAUUGGGUUUAAAGGGUCCGUAGGCGGUCAGAUAAGUCAGUGGUGAAAGCCCAUCGCUCAACGGUGGAACGGCCAUUGAUACUGUCUGACUUGAAUUAUUAGGAAGUAACUAGAAUAUGUAGUGUAGCGGUGAAAUGCUUAGAGAUUACAUGGAAUACCAAUUGCGAAGGCAGGUUACUACUAAUGGAUUGACGCUGAUGGACGAAAGCGUGGGUAGCGAACAGGAUUAGAUACCCUGGUAGUCCACGCCGUAAACGAUGUCAACUAGCCGUUGGGCUCCUUGAGGGUCUAGUGGCGCAGCUAACGCGAUAAGUUGACCGCCUGGGGAGUACGGCCGCAAGGUUAAAACUCAAAUGAAUUGACGGGGGCCCGCACAAGCGGUGGAGCAUGUGGUUUAGUUCGAUGCAACGCGAAGAACCUUACCAGGCCUUGACAUCCUGCGAACUUUCUAGAGAUAGAUUGGUGCCUUCGGGAGCGCAGUGACAGGUGCUGCAUGGCUGUCGUCAGCUCGUGUCGUGAGAUGUUGGGUUAAGUCCCGUAACGAGCGCAACCCUUGUCCUUAGUUGCCAGCGCGUAAUGGCGGGAACUCUAAGGAGACUGCCGGUGACAAACCGGAGGAAGGUGGGGAUGACGUCAAGUCCUCAUGGCCCUUAUAGGGGGGGCUACACACGUCAUACAAUGGCUGGUACAAAAGGGUGGCAACCCGCGAGGGGGAGCUAAUCCCAUAAAGCCAGUCGUAGUCCGGAUCGUAGUCUGCAACUCGACUACGUGAAGUCGGAAUCGCUAGUAAUCGUGGAUCAGAAUGUCACGGUGAAUACGUUCCCGGGUCUUGUACACACCGCCCGUCACACCAUGGGAGCGGGUUCUGCCAGAAGUAGUUAGCCUAACCGCAAGGAGGGCGAUUACCACGGCAGGGUUCGUGACUGGGGUGAAGUCGUAACAAGGUAACCC
rnacentral:rRNA from 1 species